ACUCAAAGGAAUUGACGGGGACCCACACAAGCGGUGGAGCAUGGGGUUUAAUUCGAUAAUAAACGAAGCACCUCACCCAGACUUGACAUCUACGGAAUCCCGCAGAAACGUGGGAGUGCCGCAAGGAACCGUAAGACAGGCGAUGCACGGUCGUCGUCAGCUCGUGCCUUGAGGUGUACUGUUAAGUCAGCGAACGAGCGCAACCCUCAUCCUAUGUUGUUUUUUCAUGGGAGACUGCCGCCUCCAAGGCGGAGGAAGGUGGGGAUGACGUCAGAUCAGCGUGUCCUUUAUGUCUGGGGCAACACCCAUGCUACAAUGGCCGAUACAAUGGGCAGCAAAACCGCGAGGUUAAGCAAAUCCCACCAAAGUCGGUCUCAGUUCGGAUUGCAGGCUGCAACUCGCCUGCAUGAAGUUGGAAUCGCUAGUAACCGUGAAUCAGCGAUGUCACGGUGAAUAAGUUCCUGGGUCUUGCACACACCGCCCGU
rnacentral:rRNA from 1 species